UCCACUAUUUUCAAUUUCGAA
rnacentral:piRNA from 1 species